rnacentral:rRNA from 1 species
UACGGAAGGCAGCAGUGGGGAAUAUUGCACAAUGGGCGAAAGCCUGAUGCAGCUAUGCCGCGUGUAUGAAGAAGGCCUUAGGGUUGUAAAGUACUUUCAUCGGGGAGGAAAAACAAAACUAAUAAUUUUAUUUCUUGACGUUACCCGAAAAAGAAGCACCGGCUAACUCCGUGCCAGCAGCCGCGGUAAUACGGAGGGUGCUAGCGUUAAUCAGAAUUACUGGGCGUAAAGAGCACGUAGGUGGUUUUUUAAAGUCAGAUGUGAAAUCCCUGGGCUUAACCUAGGAACUGCAUUUUGAAACUGAAAUACUAGAGUAUCGUAGAGGGAGGUAGAAUUCUAGGUGUAGCGGUGAAAUGCGUAGAUAUCUGGAGGAAUACCUGUGGCGAAAGCGGCCUCCUAAACGAAUACUGACACUGAGGUGCGAAAGCGUGGGGAGCAAACAGGGAUUAGAUACC